rnacentral:lncRNA from 1 species
CCAAAGUGCUGGGAUUACAGGUGUGAGCCACUGCGCCCAGCCAGAUGAAUGUAAUUGUUUAAAAAAAAAAGCACAAAGCAUUUUGUUCUGAAACUAUUUUAAUGUAAAGUCACUUACAUAACUAAAUUAGAAAGAAAGAACUGGGAUGAUAUAAGCCAAAGCGUUAAUGAGUCAAAUUAAUGGUGGGAAGAAGUAUUUUCUUUUGUUUUAUCGAUAUCUUCUAAAUGUUCUAUAAUAAAAAAUCUAUUUUGCAAUAAGAAAACACAGGCCAGGUGCAGUGGCUCAUGUCUGUAAUCCCAGCACUUGGGGGAGGCCGAGGCAGACGGAUUGCUCAAGACCAGGAGUUCGAGGCCAGCCUGGGCAUCAUGGCAAAACACUGUCUCCACAAAAAAUGCAAAAAUUAUUGGGGUAUGGUGGCACAAACCUCUAGUCCCAGCUUCUCUGUUGGCUGAUGUGGGAGAAUCACUUGAGCCUGGGAGGCAGAGGUUGCAGUGAGCUGUGAUCGUGCCACUGUACUCCAGCCUGCGUGACAGAGUGAUGCCCUAUCUCAAAGAAAAAAAGGAGAAGAAAGGCCGGGUGCGGUGGCUAACGCCUGUAAUCCCAGCACUUUGGGAGGCUGAGGCAGACGGAUCAUUUGAGGUCAGGAGUUCAAUAUCAGCCUGGCCAACAUUGUGAAACCCGUCUCUACUAAAAUGCAAAAAUUAGCUGGGUGUGGUGGCGAUGGCCUGUAAUCUCAGCUACUCAGGAGGCUGAAGCAGGAGACUGGCUUGAGCCCGGGAGGUGGAGCUUGCAGUGAACCGAGAUCAUGCCACUGCACUCCAGCCUGGGCGACAGAGCUUCGUCUCAAAAAAAAAACAAAAAACAAAAAAACACAAUUAACUACCCUUGUCCUUGGCUAACAACCUAAAGCAAUAAUCCAGAAUGAGAGUUUUUAACCUUUACAAGCGUUAAACCCAUGCCACCCACUGAGCUAGAAGAGUUCUCCUUACUUACCACCAGAGGGACCCUUAGUUCCUCUGAAACGUGGCGUUUCUGAAGCUACAAUCCAGUAUAAAGUCUGACACCAGAGAACUCACAGCCAUGUCAAACUUAUGAAAAAUUAUUUUAGGUGCUUCGAAAAAUAGGUUUUACAGGCCAAUCAAAUAUAAUUGUAUAAAAUUAAGUUUAGGCCAGGGGCGGUGGCUCACUCCUGUAAUCCCAGCACUUUGGGAGGCCGAGGUGGGUGGAUCAUGAGGUCAGGAGAUCGAGACCAUCCUGGCUAACACGGUGAAACCCUGUCUCUACUAAAAACACAAAAAAUUAGCCGGGCAUGGUGGCGGGCGCCUGUAGUCCCAGCUACUCGGGAGGCUGAGGCAGGAGAAUGGCGUGAACCCGUGAAAUAGGGAGCUUGCAGUGAGCCGAGAUCACGCCACUACACUCCAGCCUGGUAGACAGUGCGAGACUCCGUCUCAAAAAUAAAUAAAUAAAAAUAAAAAAUAAAGUUAAGUUUAGGAUACUUUAGCACAUUUCACAGAAAAAAGGCCAAAGCUGUUUGACAUUUAAAAUGUCUCCACUGGAACUAAUAUAGUAAAUUAGAGUGAAGACAAUGAGCUGUCUGCAAGAAAAUAUGCAGUGGGACUGUUGAUUGGGAACACUAACAGCUUUUAGUGAGGGGAGAAUAAAAGCCCAUAGAUGAGAAAACAAGAUGCCAGAAAUAAAUGUAAAUCAACCACCAUAUCUGCAAACAGCUGGCCUUGAGAAAAGAUAAAAAUUCCUUGUACUUGUUUCUGGGUAUGGAGCUUGUGUUCAAAAUGUUUCCGAAGACCACAAGAAUGGCAAAAGCAUAUUGUCUUCAAAUGAAGUACAACUUAUUUACUAUUUUUUUUAUUAACUUGUGUAUUUUUCUUCCUGAUUAGAGAGGCUUAGAGCUUGUUCCCAUUUCUUUGGAGGAAAAAGUAUAGAAUCAUUCAUUGCUCCCCGUAGUUUUACCUACAGAAAGAAUUUACAAUGGAAUAAACAAUUACUGGCUGGGCGCGGUGGCUCACGCCUGUAAUCCCAACACUUUGGGAGACCGAGGCGGGCAGAUCAUUUGAGGUCAGGAGUUUGGGACCAGCCCAGGCAACAUGGUGAAACCCCAUCUCUACUAAAAAUACAAAAAUUAGCUGAGUGUGGUAGCGCGCACCUGUAAUCCCGGCUACUCAGGAGGCUGAGGCAGGAGAACCACCUGAGCCCAGAACAUGGAGGUUAUAACGAGCUGAGAUCCGGCUACUGCACUCUAGCCUGGGAAACAGAGCAAGACUCCGUCUCAAAAAAAAAAAAAAGUACUAAUUACCCAUGUGCUAUGUCUAGCACUGCACUAACCCUUUCCUUUUUUAAAAAAAUUCAUCUUUCCCUUUAUUCUGACAUUAUGACAUUAAAUAAAGUCCAAGAGGUAUUGGGCUGGUCCUUGUUUGGUCUCUGCCCUUUCCUUCUUUUCCAAGUGGUAUUCAUCAUGCUUCUCUUGGAAGUCUUCUCAAAUAACCUUAUGUCUAUAACAUACUUUCUUCUAGAUUCUUUUGAGAGUCUAUUUGUGUUAGAUCUAGAAAUAGAAAUGUAAGGCUGAAAUGUAUUACUAUGACAAACUGUUUGUAUGUGUGUAUUACAAUCUUAAUUGUGCUAAUAAGGAUAAUUAUAAUAAAUAUGCAUGAUUCAAAAA